rnacentral:rRNA from 1 species
UACAGAGGGUGCGAGCGUUGUUCGGAAUUAUUGGGCGUAAAGGGCGCGUAGGCGGUGCGGUAAGUCACCUGUGAAAUCUCCCGGCUCAACUGGGAGGGUGCGCCGGAAACUGCCGGACUAGAGUGCGGGAGAGGAGAGUGGAAUUCCUGGUGUAGCGGUGAAAUGCGUAGAUAUCAGGAGGAACACCGGUGGUGUAGACGGCUCUCUGGACCGUAACUGACGCUGAGACACGAAAGCGUGGGUAGCAAACAGG